rnacentral:rRNA from 1 species
ACGGGAGGCAGCAGUGGGGAAUAUUGCACAAUGGGGGAAACCCUGAUGCAGCGACGCCGCGUGAGUGAAGAAGUAUUUCGGUAUGUAAAGCUCUAUCAGCAGGGAAGAUAAUGACGGUACCUGACUAAGAAGCCCCGGCUAACUACGUGCCAGCAGCCGCGGUAAUACGUAGGGGGCAAGCGUUAUCCGGAUUUACUGGGUGUAAAGGGUGCGUAGGUGGUAUGGCAAGUCAGAAGUGAAAACGCGGGGCUUAACCUCGCGACUGCUUUUGAAACUGUCAAACUAGAGUGCAGGAGAGGCAAGCGGAAUUCCUAGUGUAGCGGUGAAAUGCGUAGAUAUUAGGAGGAACACCAGUGGCGAAGGCGGCUUGCUGGACUGUAACUGACACUGAGGCACGAAAGCGUGGGGAGCAAACAGGAUUAGAUACCCUGGUA